CCUACGGGAGGCAGCAGUGGGGAAUAUUGGGCAAUGGGCGAAAGCCUGACCCAGCAACGCCGCGUGAAGGAAGAAGGCUUUCGGGUUGUAAACUUCUUUUAUGAGGAACGAAGGACGUGACGGUACCUCAUGAAUAAGCCACGGCUAACUACGUGCCAGCAGCCGCGGUAAUACGUAGGUGGCAAGCGUUGUCCGGAUUUACUGGGUGUA
rnacentral:rRNA from 1 species